rnacentral:rRNA from 1 species
CCUACGGGAGGCAGCAGUGGGGAAUCUUCCGCAAUGGGCGAAAGCCUGACGGAGCAACGCCGCGUGGGUGAAGAAGGCCUUCGGGUCGUAAAGUCCUUUUCUGUGGGAAGAUCGUGACGGUACCACAGGAAUAAGCAUCGGCUAACUACGUGCCAGCAGCCGCGGUAAUACGUAGGAUGCAAGCGUUGUCCGGAUUUAUUGGGCGUAAAGAGUGCGUAGGCGGCUUCUUAAGUGGGGCGUGAAAUCCCCCGGCUUAACCGGGGAGGGUCGUCCUAGACUGGGGGGCUGGAGGGUAGAAGAAGAGAGCGGAAUUCCGGGUGUAGGGGUGAAAUGCGUAGAUAUCGGGAGGAACACCUGUGGCGAGGGCGGCUCUCUAGGCUAUUCCUGACGCUGAGGCACGAAAGCGUGGGGAGCGAACGGAAUUAGAUACCCCGGUAGU